GUAAUGCCGGAUGCUCCAUCACACCGCAUGGUGUGUUGGGAAAGCCUUUGCGGCAUGGGAUGGGGUCGCGUCCUAUCAGCUUGAUGGCGGGGUAACGGCCCACCAUGGCUUCGACGGGUAGCCGGCCUGAGAGGGCGACCGGCCACAUUGGGACUGAGAUACGGCCCAGACUCCUACGGGAGGCAGCAGUGGGGAAUAUUGCACAAUGGGCGCAAGCCUGAUGCAGCGACGCCGCGUGAGGGAUGGAGGCCUUCGGGUUGUAAACCUCUUUUGUUAGGGAGCAAGGCAUUUUGUGUUGAGUGUACCUUUCGAAUAAGCACCGGCUAACUACGUGCCAGCAGCCGCGGUAAUACGUAGGGUGCAAGCGUUAUCCGGAAUUAUUGGGCGUAAAGGGCUCGUAGGCGGUUCGUCGCGUCCGGUGUGAAAGUCCAUCGCUUAACGGUGGAUCCGCGCCGGGUACGGGCGGGCUUGAGUGCGGUAGGGGAGACUGGAAUUCCCGGUGUAACGGUGGAAUGUGUAGAUAUCGGAGAGAGA
rnacentral:rRNA from 1 species